AUGGCGGUGGUGCACAUCCCGCGCCAGUUCAAGGUGUCAGACUGGUUCCUGAACAGGAAGAGGGACUACAAGGACGUGAGGUUCUCCCAGGUCAUCUCCAACGCCGUCAACAUGAAGCUCAGGGAUGACCUUGAGAGGCUCAAGAAGAUCAGGCAGGGAGCAAGUAGCACUGCUGGUUACUUGGGGCCAGAUCGAGUAAGAUGGUGCACCAUGGGUUUAUUUUGCCUCCAAGAGCAGCACUGUUUAUUUUGCUUCCAUGGCGUGUGGCGGCCUAUUUGGAAUGAUUGUCAUGUACUGUGA
rnacentral:rRNA from 1 species